GAGUUUGAUCCUGGCUCAGAACGAACGCUGGCGGCAGGCUUAACACAUGCAAGUUGAACGCCCCGCAAGGGGAGUGGCGCACGGGUGAGUUAAUACUUGGGAACGUGCCUUUCAGUCUGGGAUAACGUCGGGAAACUGACGCUAAAACCGGAUAUUCUCUCCGGAGGAAAGUUUACGCUGAAAGAUCGGCCCAAGCCAGAUUAGCUAGUUGGUGAGGUAAUGGCUCACCAAGGCAACGAUCUGUAGCUGGUCUGAGAGGACGACCAGCCACACUGGUACUGAGACACGGACCAGACUCCUACGGGAGGCAGCAGUGGGGAAUAUUGGACAAUGGGCGAAAGCCUGAUCCAGCCCAUGCCGCGUGAGUGAUGAAGGCCUUAGGGUUGUAAAGCUCUUUGUGAGGGAAGAUGAUGACGGUACCUCAAGAAUAAG
rnacentral:rRNA from 1 species